AUUGAACGCUGGCGGCAGGCCUAACACACGCAAGUCGAGCGGAUGAAGGGAGCUUGCUCCUGGAUUCAGCGGCGGACGGGUGAGUAAUGCCUAGGAAUCUGCCUGGUAGUGGGGGAUAACGUCCGGAAACGGGCGCUAAUAACGCCUACGUCCUGAGGGAGCAAGUGGGGGAUCUUCGGACCUCACGCUAUCAGGUGAGCCUAGGUCGGAUUAGCUAGUUGGUGGGGUAAAGGCCUACCAAGGCGACGAUCCGUAACUGGUCUGAGAGGAUGAUCAGUCACACUGGAACUUAGACACGGUCCAGACUCCUACGGGAGGCAGCAGUGGGGAAUAUUGGACAAUGGGCGAAAGCCUGAUCCAGCCAUGCCGCGUGUGUGAAGAAGGUCCUCGGAUUGUAAAGCACUUUAAGUUGGGAGGAAGGGCAGUAAGUUAAUACCUUGCUGUUUUGACGUUACCAACAGAAUAAGCACCGGCUAACUUCGUG
rnacentral:rRNA from 1 species